rnacentral:rRNA from 1 species
UGGCUCAGGACGAACGCUGGCGGCGUGCUUAACACAUGCAAGUCGAGCGGUAAGGCCUUUCGGGGUACACGAGCGGCGAACGGGUGAGUAACACGUGGGUGAUCUGCCCUGCACUUCGGGAUAAGCCUGGGAAACUGGGUCUAAUACCGGAUAUGACCUCCUAUCGCAUGGUGGGUGGUGGAAAGAUUUAUCGGUGCAGGAUGGGCCCGCGGCCUAUCAGCUUGUUGGUGGGGUAAUGGCCUACCAAGGCGACGACGGGUAGCCGACCUGAGAGGGUGACCGGCCACACUGGGACUGAGACACGGCCCAGACUCCUACGGGAGGCAGCAGUGGGGAAUAUUGCACAAUGGGCGAAAGCCUGAUGCAGCGACGCCGCGUGAGGGAUGACGGCCUUCGGGUUGUAAACCUCUUUCAGCAGGGACGAAGCGCAAGUGACGGUACCUGCAGAAGAAGCACCGGCUAACUACGUGCCAGCAGCCGCGGUAAUACGUAGGGUGCAAGCGUUGUCCGGAAUUACUGGGCGUAAAGAGUUCGUAGGCGGUUUGUCGCGUCGUUUGUGAAAACCAGCAGCUCAACUGCUGGCUUGCAGGCGAUACGGGCAGACUUGAGUACUGCAGGGGAGACUGGAAUUCCUGGUGUAGCGGUGAAAUGCGCAGAUA